rnacentral:rRNA from 1 species
GACAGAGGGUGCAAACGUUGCUCGGAAUCACUGGGCGUAAAGGGCGUGUAGGCGGGAAUGUAAGUCGGGCGUGAAAUCCCUAGGCUCAACCUAGGAACUGCACUCGAAACUGCGUUUCUUGAGUGCCGGAGAGGAAAGCGGAAUUCCUGGUGUAGAGGUGAAAUUCGUAGAUAUUCGGAGGAACACCAGUGGCGAAGGCGGCUCACUGGUCCAUUACUGACGCUGAGGUGCGAAAGCGUGGGGAGCAAACAGG